rnacentral:ncRNA from 1 species
AAUGAAUUUGAUUCUAAUUUAUUAUAUUAAUUUAUAGAUGUUUAUUACAUGCAAGUUUUGGCGUAUAUAUUAUUGAAUUUUAUUAUCUUAAGGAUAUAUUAAUUUAUAGCAGUUUUUAUUUUUUUGUUUUCUAAUAAUUUGGGAUAAAGUUAAUUUAUUUUUGACUAGCUAAAAUUGUGCCAGCGGCUGCGGUUACACAAUUAGUUAAAGUUAAUAUUAUUUGAUUGUAUUUAUUAUGAUUUUUAUUUGAUAAAUAUUUAUUAUGAUUCUUGGGUGAAAUUUGAAUCAUGAUUUUAUUAUCUGGUUUUUUAUAGAUUAUAUGAAAUUUUAAUUAUAAACUAGGAUUAGAUACCCUAUUAUUUAAAAUGUAAAAUUAUUUCAUUAGUAUUAAUAGUUAUGAUCUUUAAAUUAAAAGAAUUUGACGGUAAUUUAUUAUUUCAGAGGAGCCUGUCCCUUAAUCGAUACUCCACGUUAAAUUUUACCUAAUUUUUUCGCUUAUAUACCUCUGUUAAUUGGAGUGUUUUAUUAGGAUUUAUUCUCUUUUAUUAUUUAAUAAUUAAUAUCAGGUCAAGGUUUAGCUAUAUUUAGGUGGAGAUGGGCUACAUUUAUUUUUGUAAUUGGUUCUUAUUUUGUAUUUUUUAAGUUAAAUUGGAUUUGAUUGUAAUUUAUAUUAUAUUUUAUUUAUGAUACAUAUUCUAAAUUAAGUACAUAUCGCCCGUCACUCUCAUUAUUAAAAUGAGAUAAGUCGUAACAAAGUAAGUUUACCGGAAGGUGAACUUGGAAAUACA